UUCUCCCGACAAUGGGCAAAGAGUCAUCUUGGUGGUUGGUGGUGUUUCUAUAUCAUUCAGGGACAGAGCAGAUGGCAGUCCUUUGUUUAUCCUAGCUUGAUGCCUGGCUGGGUGGCCACAGCUGUUUUAUGCAUAGGAUUCAUAA